GCGGGCAAAUCCUUUUCCUCAUUCCUUAGCCAUUUUGUUAAAGCGGUAUUAUGUUCUUCAAUAUGGAAACUCCAAUAAUUUCUCAAUCAAUUGAAAUCUUCUCCAAUACUCUUCAAUCAAUCUUUAAAACCUCAUAAAAAUUCAUAUAUCUUGCCUGUUCCAUCGUUCCAUCUCUCCGUUACAAUCAAAAACCCUAAAUCCAGUGUUUCCUUUCAUCAUUUGCCUCCCAAUUGAAAGAACCUAGAUCUCAUCUCUCUACUCUCUACCUGGUAAGUUUUCGUUUAGGGUUUGAUUUCAUAUCUUGAUGUUUCUAUCCUGCUUCUUUCUCGAUUUCCCGUCUCAGAUUCUUAACACAUCGACCCUUGAGGCCAAGGGAGAUGGUAAAAAAAAAAGAGACAGAGAGUGGUGGAGUAAUGGAUGCCGUUCAAGGUCUCUGUCUGGCCGUCCUAUAAAAAGAACCCUAAAUUUCUACCUUUGCCUCUGUCUAAUCUCUAUGCUUUCUUUAUAUUCGAUUUUGUAAAAGAUAAAAGAGAGAGAGAGAGAGAGAGAGAGGAAGCAAAUGAGGGACGCAGAGGGAUAUGAAGGUCAUCUUCUCCGACAACCGGUGUCUGCGAUAGGGAUACCGGUUUCUUAGUAUUCAGCGGUGGCGGUUCCAAUGUUGUUGUUGAUGGCGGCUUCUUUUUUAAAUGGAACCAAAGUGUAAAAUGCAGGGACCAAAGUGUAAAAUUCAGGGACCAAAGUGGAAAAUGCAGGGACCAAAGUGGAAAAUGCAGGACCAAAAAAAUCCCCAUACCGCCGCUAUAAUACUCGCGCCCCCCCUCUUUUUCUCAUCCAUACCGCCCACCGUUUUGGUGUUCCCGACGUUAUACCGGCGCCAUGAAAGGGCAAAGCGCCCCACUACGCAUUACCUAAAGUAUGAUGAAGUUAUAACCAGUUCUUACUUAAAUUCCUAUAACUUUCACGUUUUCCUUUCAACAGCAGGUGAUUGAUACGUAAGCCGUUUCAGAUCGCUUCACAUAUUAGGGAUUUUCAUUCGAUUUACUAAGAUGGAAAAUCCCUUAUGCAAUGGUACAUGUUUUAGAUUUAGUGGUAAGAGUCCCAGUUCAAAAAUAAAAUCUGGCCUGCAAAACAUUUUUUUUGUGUAAAAUUCAACUAUGUCUUUAAAAAUUUUUAUAUAAGGCUUCUCAUUUACUUUAUUUAGCCUCUUCACCCUACAAUUUUUUUGUAGAGAUGAAAAACCUAUGGAUAACCUGGUGAUUUAAAGCGUUUCUAAUACUUUAGUGAGGUAGCACAUGAGCUGGUUCAUCUUCUUGGGCACAUGAUAUUUUCUUGACAUGUCUAAUUUUUUUGGCUAUGCUUCUUGCAGUUGAACAUGCUCUAUUCUAUAGAGACGAAUCUGGGUGAUUUUGGGUGUCUGGUGUCAAAAAGUAGUCGACUUAGGUCAACUUUGUUUGGUACAGUACAAGGAACACCAUGGUCAGACCACUGAUCGAAGGAUUUGGCCGGUAAUUACAUCAAAACUCGAGCAACGACAACGUGUGAGGUAGCGACGGUUGUGGUGGAGGUAAACCGACAAGAGAAGAAGAAAAAAAGGGAAAACAGGAGUUUGACAUCAACUUCCAUUGUUGGUUUAAAUUUAAAGGAGGUCAAAGAUGUACGGAUGGCAAUGUUAGUGGCGGUUGAGUGCAAAUAAGGUUUACCAGUCAGGAGGAACAGGGGUUUGUUUUCAUGUGAGGCUAUAUGUCUACUUGCUAUUGAUAAGAAAAAUGAGUUAAUUAGUUGUUGCUGCAAGUAAUAGUUCAAUGUCUGGUCAGUAAGUUUCUGGUUCGGUCAUGUUUAUUAACAGUUGGUUUUAUAAAUAGUUAACACGUUCCAUUAUAUCUGGAAUGACUUUAUAACAAAAGAAAUCUACUGAUUUCAAUACUUGGUGUGUUUUCUUUGUUUAUAAAGAAAAGAAAAAAGAUCAAUCACCAGUUUAUUGUUUAUAUAGGGUGGUGGUGAAAGCCUGAAUCAACUCUAUAAACGUUGAACAAAUUCAUUGCAAGCGAUUGGCAGUAAAUACCAAGGGGAGCGGGUUGUAGUGGUGACUCAUGGUGGUGUGAUCAGAGCACUUCACGAGCGGGCUUCUUUAGGUACAGGACACCGAGCAGGAAGGAUACUGAAUGUUACAGUCAAUGUAUUACACUUAUCGGAUCCCGAAAAAUGGGUCAUCAAAUCAUGGGGGGAUGUUAGUCAUUUGAAUGGAGCCGGGUACUUAGACUCGGGUUUUGGUGGCGAUCGAACUUCUGGUCAGGCUUUUUCGUACAUGUCCAUUUCUUGACUUGCUAGAUGCAUUUAAUAACCAACAUCUCAAGUCUUUGAUGGGCUGUGAAUUAUUAAUGCCCUGAAUUAAUUUGUUUCUAAUCCCAUUAAUUGGGAAAUAGCGAUUUGGUAGAGAGAUAUUAUGUUUGAAUUGUUGGCCCACAUUGCACAUGGUUGCAAAUGAAGAUAAUCUGGAUUAUUAUUUGACUUUGAAGGGUGUUAGAAUCAAUAAUUAAUGACACAGCUAUAAGUUCACAACUAAUUGCGAGAAACUAAUAUUUGAUUCUAGAGGCGUAGGACUACAAAAGAUGAUAUUUGAGAACUGAUAUUUCGGUAAAUUCUCGAAUACCAUCCUCAGCUUUUAAAAGAUUACAUGGUUGUAAACGAAAGCACCAUCUUUCUCUAUUCUAGGUUUAUAUCACUUAUCACCAUCAGUUCUGUUAUGUAUGGUGUUUUUAUUUAUCUUAGGAUUUAACAUAUGUUGUUACCAUGCAGUGUGUUAUGGGUCAGUUUGCAUAUUUAGAGGAACACAGUGGAAAACGGCCUAUUGUGCUUUCAGUUUGGAAGCAUGUUUCCCUCUCGAGUAUGGACUUUGGAACCGGAAGAAUCCGAAAGGUGAGAGGACAAACUGGGUUAUGCAUGAAUACAGGCUUAUCGAUCAAGAGCUCUAAAAAGGCUGGAAUUAUGCAUGUCAGGGGUCGUUGAUUAUGACUAUUUUUGUCAUUCUUUUUAGUAUAUAUUUUGAUAUUUUUAUAUAGCUUUAGUACAAUGAUUUGUAAGUGCUUUAGUUAUUAGUAUUUAUAAGGUUGUACAAUUCGCUACGUUUAACCACUUAAAUUUAACACAAUUUUGUGAAG